GACGAACGCUGGCGGCGUGCUUAACACAUGCAAGUCGAGCGGUAAGGCCCUUUCGGGGUACGACGAGCGGCGAACGGGUGAGUAACACGUGGGUGACCUGCCCUCAGCUCUGGGAUAAGCCUGGGAAACCGGGUACUAAUACCGGAUAUGACUCCAUGACGCAUGUUGUGGGGUGGAAAGCCUUGUGCGGCUGAGGAUGGGCCCGCGGCCUAUCAGCUUGUUGGUGGGGUGANGGCCUACCAAGGCGACGACGGGUAGCCGGCCUGAGAGGGCGACCGGCCACACUGGGACUGAGACACGGCCCAGACUCCUACGGGAGGCAGCAGUGGGGAAUCUUGCGCAAUGGGCGAAAGCCUGACGCAGCGACGCCGCGUGAGGGAUG
rnacentral:rRNA from 1 species